AUUGAACGCUGGCGGCAUGCCUAACACAUGCAAGUCGAACGGGGCAGCAAUGCCUAGUGGCGGACGGGUGAGGAAUACGUAGGAAUCUGCCCUUAAGUGGGGGAUAACCAGGGGAAACCCUGACUAAUACCGCAUGAUCUCUUCGGAGCAAAGAGGGGGACCGCAAGGCCUCUCGCUUCUGGAUGAGCCUACGUCUGAUUAGCUAGUUGGUAGGGUAAAGGCCUACCAAGGCGACGGUCAGUAACUGGUCUGAGAGGAUGAUCAGUCACACCGGAACUGAGACACGGUCCGGACUCCUACGUGAGGCAGCAGUGGGGAAUAUUGGACAAUGGGCGCAAGCCUGAUCCAGCAAUGCCGCGUGUGUGAAGAAGGCCUUCGGGUUGUAAAGCACUUUAGCCUGGAAAGAAAAAAACUUUGGUUAACACCCAAAGUCUUGACGGUACCAGGAGAAUAAGCACCGGCUAACUCUGUGCCAGCCGCCGCCGUAA
rnacentral:rRNA from 1 species